rnacentral:rRNA from 1 species
CCUACGGGAGGCAGCAGUGGGGAAUAUUGGACAAUGGGCGCAAGCCUGAUCCAGCCAUACCGCGUGGGUGAAGAAGGCCUUCGGGUUGUAAAGCCCUUUUGUUGGGAAAGAAAUCCAGCCGGCUAAUACCUGGUUGGGAUGACGGUACCCAAAGAAUAAGCACCGGCUAACUUCGUGCCAGCAGCCGCGGUAAUACGAAGGGUGCAAGCGUUACUCGGAAUUACUGGGCGUAAAGCGUGCGUAGGUGGUUAUUUAAGUCCGUUGUGAAAGCCCUGGGCUCAACCUGGGAACUGCAGUGGAUACUGGAUGACUAGAAUGUGGUAGAGGGUAGCGGAAUUCCUGGUGUAGCAGUGAAAUGCGUAGAGAUCAGGAGGAACAUCCAUGGCGAAGGCAGCUACCUGGACCAACAUUGACACUGAGGCACGAAAGCGUGGGGAGCAAACAGGAUUAGAUACCCUGGUAGUCCACGCCCUAAACGAUGCGAACUGGAUGUGGGUGCAAUUUGGCACGCAGUAUCGAAGCUAACGCGUUAAGUUCGCCGCCUGGGGAGGUACGGUCGCGAGACGAGAACGACGAAAGAAAGUUAGUACGGCGUGAGACGUCGACCGAACGGACGACGACGAGGGAGGAGG